rnacentral:rRNA from 1 species
GAUGAACGCUGGCGGCGUGCCUAAUACAUGCAAGUCGAGCGAACAGACGAGGAGCUUGCUCCUUUGACGUUAGCGGCGGACGGGUGAGUAACACGUGGAUAACCUACCUAUAAGACUGGGCUAACUUCGGGAAACCGGAGCUAAUACCGGAUAACCUGUUGAACCGCAUGGUUCAACAGUGAAAGACGGUCUUGCUGUCACUUAUAGAUGGAUCCGCGCCGCAUUAGCUAGUUGGUAAGGUAACGGCUUACCAAGGCAACGGUGCGUAACCGACCUGAGAGGGUGAUCGGCCACACUGGAACUGAGACACGGUCCAGACUCCUACGGGAGGCAGCAGUAGGGAAUCGUCCGCAAUGGGCGAAAGCCUGACGGAGCAACGCCGCGUGAGUGAAGAAGGUCUUCGGAUCGUAAAACUCUGUUAUUAGGGAAGAACAAAUGUGUAAGUAACUAUGCACGUCUUGACGGUACCUAAUCAGAAAGCCACGGCUAACUACGUG